UUACAACACGUUUAUGGAGUUUUUAUUUCCUUUAUUUCCUGAUCACUCUAUGUUUUCAUUCUUAGGAAAAGAUCGACAUUUCCUUUUGUGUUCCUUUGAAGAAAGAAAGUCAUACAAAUUUGAACAAUGAUCUCCAGCUGGCCCAAGUGGACCUGGUCUUCCUGGACGACCUGGAUCGCCCUGAGAAGAAAGUACCUUUUCUCCCAGAGCCCCCGCAAGACCAGGUUCUCCAACAUCUCCAGGGUAGCCAUCAGGACCCUGUAAAAGGCAC